rnacentral:lncRNA from 1 species
GGGAAAUGCAAGGAAUCUCAGAUUCUUUUUGGAGCAGAGGAGAAGGUGUCUUGCCAGCUGCCUGGAUAUUUAAGACUGCUUUCUCCUUCUUCUAGUAUAAGAGUGUAUGCAAGAGACAGAAAGAGGAGAUCCAGCACUUCAAAAUGCAAUACGGACACACUGACAAUUAUACAAAACAGCAAUCUUCCCAUCUGUGGUUACCACAGUGUCAAUCUAAAGAAGAGGGUAGCUAAGGUAUAGCCCUCCAGACAUGGAUGAACUGCAGUUCCCAAGAUCCUUU